CUCAGAUGCAAGGUGAUAAGUAGCCACACAUCUCUGGUCCCACAAGUUCAAGUUACAACAAACUGUUUCUUCUUUCUCUCUUUUAACCCAAGUUUCAACCAAGAAGGACCCUGCUUCCUGGUAACACAGCACACCACAAGGUGAAACAGAAACUGGCAACUGCAAGAUGGUUUCUGGUGGCCCAGAGGGGUCUGGGAAAAAGCAAACUCUCCAGGUGAAGUUUCUGGAAUGCUCAGCUAACCAAACCAUUUGGAAAGCAAAAACUGGCAAUAGUACCUGAACUGACAGACAACAACAACCCAAGAAUCUGAGUACACAGAGGGUGACUCAAGAGCCACAAGGAUUUAGGAGUUGUUUUGCAGAAGAAAAAGAAUGCCUUCAAGGAAGUUAUGACCACCAGAUAACCAGUCCUUGGCUGCUGCUAAUGCCUAGAAGUCUGAUUGCCCAAGGGUUCAUCUGGAGUGAAAGAAACACACAUUUCCCCUUUGUUUCUCAGAAACUCCUCCUCCCAAGCCCCUUAACUCUAUAAAAUGCCCUGCUUUCUACUUUUGUUAAGACAGAUUUGAGAGAACCUAUCCUCCUGUCUUCUCGUUUUGGCCAAUUUGAAUAAACCUUUCGCCAUCUCCAAG
rnacentral:lncRNA from 1 species